ACUGUGGUGAGCGUGUCCCUGGUGGUGGUGAGGGUGAUGACUGCUGCUCGCCCGUCGGAAGCCAUCAGGGCUGCCUCGGCCGCACUCCGCUCCCGCUCCACCAGCUCGUCCUCCUGCGCCGCCACACGUGAAAAAAAGGUUGGCCCUGUCCCAGGCCGUGUUGUGUAUGGCACGAGUGAGGGUGGUGAUGUCCCCCUCACUCUCAGUCCUCGCCGCCUUCACCGCCGCCACCCGCGACCCCAGCCGCCCAACCUCACGCCCGACCUCCGCCUCUGCCCGCCACCAAAUACGGUGUCAAAAGAAGCAGGAAGCAUGAUUCAAUGGAAAGGCGUAAAGUGUUGAGAAAGACUGGGCACGUGGUAUCAAGGAAAGGUGGGGAACAUGAUAUCAAACGAGGGUGGGGAACAUGGUAUCAAGGGCAGGUGGGAAACAUGAUAUCAAAGGCAAGUGGGGAACAUGAUAUCAAAGGCAAGUGGGGAACUUGAUGUUUCUCACCGUGCUUCCUGGCGUUGUUAAGUGCAGCCAUCAGGGUACGCUCCUCUUCCCUUGCCUGCAGCAGUGUGUCCUGGGCGGCCUGCACUGCCUGCCUCGUCCUCCGCCUCUCAGCCUUCGCCUUGUCCAGGUUCACCUGCACUCACGGGUAUAAGUAUUAGUGAGCUUCAAUUCUUGGGCCAUUGUUUUCAGUCGUUGGACUCCCAUUGCAAUAGUUCUAACUGCUAGCAAUCUGUGUAAUCCUACUAGAUGGUAUGGAAACUUCAAAUGCACUCUGGUAAACAUAAUAGCACUAUGCAGUCUCAUUGUUAUGUUAUUCGUGAUCACAUAUACAGUAAUAAAGACUUGACUUCGUCAAUUAUAUAC